rnacentral:rRNA from 1 species
GAUGAACGCUGGCGGCGUGCUUAACACAUGCAAGUCGAACGGUGAAGGCGGAGCUUGCUCUGCUGGAUCAGUGGCGAACGGGUGAGUAACACGUGAGCAAUCUGCCCCUGACUCUGGGAUAAGCGCUGGAAACGGCGUCUAAUACUGGAUACGAGCUGCGAAGGCAUCUUCAGCAGCUGGAAAGAACUUCGGUCAGGGAUGAGCUCGCGGCCUAUCAGCUUGUUGGUGAGGUAACGGCUCACCAAGGCGUCGACGGGUAGCCGGCCUGAGAGGGUGACCGGCCACACUGGGACUGAGACACGGCCCAGACUCCUACGGGAGGCAGCAGGGGGGAAUAUGGCACAAUGGGCGAAAGCCUGAUGCAGCAACGCCGCGUGAGGGACGACGGCCUUCGGGUUGUAAACCUCUUUUAGCGGGGAAGAAGCGAAAGUGACGGUACCUGCAGAAAAAGCGCCGGCUAACUACGUG